GACGAACGCUGGCGGCGUGCUUAAUACAUGCAAGUAGAACGCUGAAGGAGGAGCUUGCUUCUCUGGAUGAGUUGCGAACGGGUGAGUAACGCGUAGGUAACCUGCCUGGUAGCGGGGGAUAACUAUUGGAAACGAUAGCUAAUACCGCAUAAGAGUAGAUGUCGCAUGACAUUUGCUUAAAAGGUGCAAUUGCAUCACUACCAGAUGGACCUGCGUUGUAUUAGCUAGUUGGUGAGGUAACGGCUCACCAAGGCAACGAUACAUAGCCGACCUGAGAGGGUGAUCGGCCACACUGGGACUGAGACACGGCCCAGACUCCUACGGGAGGCAGCAGUAGGGAAUCUUCGGCAAUGGACGGAAGUCUGACCGAGCAACGCCGCGUGAGUGAAGAAGGUUUUCGGAUCGUAAAGCUCUGUUGUAAGAGAAGAACGAGUGUGAGAGUGGAAAGUUCACACUGUGACGGUAUCUUACCAGAAAGGGACGGCUAACUACGUG
rnacentral:rRNA from 1 species